rnacentral:lncRNA from 1 species
CUCGCUAUCACUCCCCUUCUCCCUGUCAGAUAAUUGUGUGCAUGUAACGGGGGUCAAGUGUCUACCUCUAUCGGCUUGAUAUGUUGUGUGUGUGUCUGUAUGUGCGCUUGAAGAGUUACACCAGGAGAUACUUUCACCAGAAUCCAGAUAUUCACCUUAUAUGUGACAACUUAACAUGGCAUGAUCCUGCUAGCCUCCUAACUUGUAAAUGAAAAAUAAUAUUAAUAAAAUAUCGCCCCCAAAAGAUGUACUUAAGUUCUCAUCCUCGAGUACACUGUGCACAUGCCAGGAGCAACUCUGGACAUGGAAACGAAUUGUAAAGUAAAGCAAAAACACUCUCAUUGAGUUGAAACAUUUUGUUUGAUAACAGUGUACACUGAAUAGGAUGAUGGUCCAUAAUCCUAUUAAUGAUGGUUAGAGCAUCUGCUACAGUUUUGGCUAAAUUAGAAAUGCAAGAUAUUGUGCAAAUUUGUUGAAUCUCUAAGAGAUUUUGUUUGGAUGAUACAAUCUAUAUUGACUAUAUUUUGAAAAUGAUAUGAUAUUAUUAUUUUGAAUUAUUAUAAAUAGAAAAUAUUAGUUUAAUAUGGUAUUAUGGUAAUAUAUGAUGUGAAUCUUGCUAAAGGUAUGAUUAUAUAUGAUAUGAAAUCUUGCUACAUGUAGGCUGAUCAAAUAUGAUCAAAUAUAAACAACAUUAGUUAUUCACUAUUAUAUUAUAUCCUUAAUCCUUAUAGAUAAAAAGCGUAUAUAGGAUAAUUUGGUUGUUUGGUGUAGAACCCUAAAAUAAUAUUCCUUUUAUAUUCUAAACAAAACAAAUAGAGAUUUUGUAAAAAACAAACGGAAGCAAAUUUUAUAAUUAAAAUAUGACUUCUAUUUCUUAUAUGUCUAAAUACUGCAAUAUAAAUACGAACCGUUAGAUCUUAUUUUUGAUAAACAGUUAAGAUUACAAAAUAAAUAAAGAUAAUUCUGUAUAAUAUUUAAAUAUAAUAUAUAAUUUAUACUUUUGAUGUUCAAAAUCAAUUAGAAGUGGUUCUUGUAAUUAAAUAUAAUAUGUCCCCUAUUCUUUUUAUGUUCGAAACAAAAUAGAAAGAGGUUUUAUAAAAAUAAAAUACAAGUAGGUUUUUUAAUCAUAAUACGAUUUUUAUUCUUUUUAUGUUCUAAAACCCAAUAAAAAGAGGUUUUGUAAAUAGAAUAUGACUAUUAUUAUAAAAUCCAUAACUACUUUUACUACUUCCUAUUUUAUGUUCUCAUCAAAUAUAGUUGUUAAAUCAUUGCUAAAUCUUUUAUUUUACUAAAAUGAUAAUCUGGAUUUAAAAAUUAUAAACUAGCAUAUAAAAUAUUGGUAACAUAAUUUAUAAAGUAAAUCAUUAUUAUAAUACAUCUACUAUAUCAAUAAAAAUAUUUUUAAAAAUAUUUGUACAUCAUAUAAAAUUAUUUAAAUAAAUUUAUAUUUUCAGAAAAUAUUUGUGCAUGACACGAAUUAUAAGCUAUCUAUACUAUACAAUAAUUAGCAAACACGGGUAUAAUUUGUAAUACUAAAUUUUUGUUAUGUUUUUAUUGUCUAGUCAUGUUUUUUUAGUCAUUCCUAAAUUAUCAUGGCUUGAAAAUGAAAAAGGGAAAAAAUCCAACACUUAAAUACCAGUGGAGCCUCUAGAGGUCACUUACUUUCAGAUGAUUAAAUAGUUCGAAAGACUAGAGGUCAAAUUAUUACUAUAUUGUAACUGAAGUGGUUUCAGUGUUUUUGUUCUAGGUUAAAACUGAAGUGGUGGUAGUGGAUGGUAUUUACAGUGAAUUUAAAUUUACUUGAAUCAAGAUUGUAUGUAUAUCAUGUACUCCUUCCGUCCCAUUAGAUUGUAUACAGUUUCUUUUUUGGGACGUCCCAUCAAUUGUAUACAUACAAAAAAUGGUAAACUUUUAUAAUAUAAAAAACUUAACAACACCCACUACCUUCUUCCACUACACCCACUUUAUACAUUAAAUAUUAGUAGGUCCCACCAUUUUACUAACACUACACUCAUUUUACACAUUAAAUAUUAAUGGGUCCCACCAUUUCACCCACUUUUCUUACUUUUCAUCACCAAAUUACACUUUUUCUUAACCUCCGUGCCACUCCCCAUACGUAUACUAGUCAAUGGGAUGGAGGGAGUAUGUGCUUAGAGAUAACAUGAAGGUUGGUAAUGUUGGAGGGGAAGUGUUGAUUUUGUUACACGUAGAUAUACAUGCAAAUGUGUCGACGUGUUGAUGGAGUAACUCAAAUCAGAGUGUUGAUGCAAUAACUCAAUUUUUUGUCUUUGAUUUUGUGGAUAUUCAAGGUGUUGUGAAUAUCUUCCUUGAAUUUCUAAUGACAGGAGAUUUAGGUGGAAAAUGGUACUCCCUCCAUCUCAUUUUAAGUGUCCAUUUUGCAAAUUUCACACAUAUUAAAAAACAAUUAAUGUAAAUGUUUUGAUCAUUAUCUUCCACAACUAACCAGCUUAGUUUUCAUACAUAAUAAUUAUGCACCUCAUUAAUUACUCUGUAUUUGGACCUUUUUUCACUUCAAAUUACAUUUAUUACAUUCAUAAUCCCUCUAAAUACAUUUAUGAUUCUAUAUUGGAAAUAGUAUAAAAUUUACAUGGAUUAAAGAGUAUGACACAUAGGGGCCAUUUGGGUGAGCUUAAAAUGAGUGCUUCUUGCUUAAAAUUAAAAAGUGGAGUAGAAGUUAGAAGCAAGUUAAGACUUAUAAGUAAUUAAAGUGUUUGGAAAAUAAGCAGAAGCCCUGAAACAAAAGCUAGCAUUCCUAACUUUUUAUAAGUGCUUCUCGACUUUUUAAACAUACGGUACGAAAUAAGUGCUUCUAACUUAUAAACCAGAAGCCCGGCUUUUAAGCCGAAAACAAACACCCCCAUAUUUUGGGAUUUUUUCUUUUGGCAAAGUGGACACUGAAAAUGAGAUGGAGGGAGUACAAGACAAAUCUACAUGCAUAUGCUCCCAAGUCCCAAUUCUGUUCUGAUUAUACUUUAUCUCUACAUCUCUGAACUUUACAGUUGUUCUAGCAGAAAUUUGUACUAUCCCAAUUCUUUUCUUCAUUCCAUUCUUACCAAUUUUAAUUUUAACUCAGCUCACCAAUUUUAAGAUACCUACUAAUAUAUUUUUCACAAACCUCGUUACAAAAUAUAAGUAUCAUUUCAUUUAUAAAAAAAAUCUCACCCUUCACCUCUGCCAACAUCCAUUUGACCGCAUAAGUUGGUCCAUAUUAUAUCAUCCCCAUUCGUUCUAUAAGGCAUAAAGGAGGUCUAGUGAGAGUUUUCUCUAAAUAACAGAUCAUGCCAAAAAGCAAAGUGUUUUCGAGGGUUAAGCCCUUUCUUGCAGUUCUGUUUUUGCAGUUUGGGCUAGCGGGGAUGGAUGUUAUUUCCAAAGUUGCACUCGAUCAAAUGAUGAGCACCUAUGUGUUUGUCGUGUAUUACCACGCUAUUGCCACUAUUCUUACUGCUCCCUUGGCAAUCAUCCUCGAGAAGUCUCUUUUGCACUCUUUCUCUUUGUUUCAUUACUUAUUUAAAGGUGAAAUAAUUAUAUUGAUCUUUGUACAGAAAAGUGAGGCCAAAGAUGACAAAAGCAAUGUUUGGAAAGUUUAUUCUUCUUGCCUUACUAGAGUAUGUUGAUACUAAUAACAUCCUAUAUACUUGGAAUUUGUGAAUCUUCAUGUGAAAAGUCCAACUCAAUAUUUUGCAGACCAGUUAUUGACCAGAAUCUCUAUAUGAUGGGGAUGAAAAACACGAGUGCCACGUUUGCAGCUGCUCUAUGUAACAUUUUACCUGCCAUAACAUUUGUCAUGGCAUGGAUUUUUGGGUAAACAAUUAUUAAUACUUUCUACCUACUUUGGUUGUCCAAACAAAUCGAUGAGUCCUUGAUAGAGAAAGUUUAAUGUCGAGUAGAAAUCCUACAUCUACCUGUGGGUAGACAUUUAGUAGAAAUCUAUUUCAAUACAUAUAUCUGGUUUCUGGCAGGCUUGAGAAGGUUAAGUUGAAGAGUAUCAGAAGCCAAGCUAAAAUAGGCGGCACACUGACUACUAUCGGAGGAGCCAUGCUCAUGACGUUUGUCAAAGGACCAGUUAUUCAUCUAAUGUGUACAGAAGGAAGAACCAAUCCUGUUCAACGAAGUAAUGGAGUAGGUUAUCAACAUUCACUAAGGGGUUCUCUUAUGAUAACUGCUUCAUGCUUCAGUUGGGCUUGUUUUAUGGUUCUACAAGUGAGAAUUUACAUAUCUUCUGUAAUUAAAUUUUGCCAAAUCUGCUAUGAAAAACCUUAUUUUUCCCUCUAUCAGGCAAAUACACUAGAGACAUAUCCUGCUGAGCUCUCUUUAACAGCUUGGAUAUGCCUGAUGGGCACCGUGGAGGGGGCCGUACUUGCCCUUGUAAUGGAGAGGGGAAAUGCUGCUGUUUGGUCCCUCAAUUUCGACGCUAAACUACUAGCAGCUGUCUACAGCGUAAGGACUUCUAUAAAAAGUAUUUGUACAGAUUAUCAGUUAUCUACUUGUGCUAAGGUCUUACCCAGGGCCCAAGAUUCCUAGACCAGCAAGAUUUGGGGAAGGUACUAACUUUAAUUACCUGCACUAAUUUAAUUAUAUCUUACAAUUUGUUCAAUAAAAUAUGCAGGGCAUAAUUUGUUCAGGACUCGCUUAUUAUGUUCAAGGAAUUGCAAUGAAAGACAGAGGACCUGUUUUUGUAACGGCUUUCAAUCCACUGGGCAUGAUCCUUGUCGCCGUCUUAGGAUCCUUCAUCUUAGCAGAACAAAUACACCUGGGAGGGUAGAUACCAGACUCACUUUUCAAUCAUAUAUAGACACAAACCUCCAAAAAAAAGGAGUCUUGAGCUUAAAUUAAAUUAAGAAGAGCUUAAAUAAUAUUUAUACCUUUGUCUGCAGGGUCAUCGGAGCCUUUGUGAUAGCUGUAGGAGUUUACCUUGUUGUGUGGGGUAAGAGCAAAGAUUACAAGCCCCGGGAC